rnacentral:ncRNA from 172 species
AACCUGCGGAAGGAUCAUUG